CUCAUGCACACCAUGUUUCUGCUGGCCACAGGGGCAGCGAGUGGGGUUCAGCCAGCCCUUCCUGAGUGACAGGCCUGGGGCUGAGGACUGUAGCUACAGAAACGGUUAACCUACUAGGAAGUAAGCUGUGGCUCAAGACACAGGAAUCGUGGCCAAGCCGGCCUCUUGGGGGCUCUGGGGCUCUUGCCUGGAUCCCGGUGCUGCGGUUUCAAUCCUCCUGCAGGACAGACCCACCUUACACAGUGAGCAGGGCCUGGGUCAUCUGGCAUCGCACAGACUGAGGACAGUGGGAUUUUAGGACAUACAGUCAAGAGCUACUUGACCUGUGAUGGCUGAAAUAAUUCAUAAAAUUAUCCACUGAGAAGUUACUUAAAACCCAAUUAAAAACAAUAUCGAAAUGCCCUUUGUUCACCCAUCAGCCUUGUUACUCAGGACUUAAAACAUGUGACAAAACUUCCUUAUUUUAAAACUCAG